rnacentral:rRNA from 1 species
GCACAAGCGGUGGAUGAUGUGGUUAAUUCGAUGCAACGCGAAAACCUUACCACCUUUGACAUGGCAGGAAUCCUGAAGAGAUUUGGGAGUGCUCGAAAGAGAACCUGCACACAGGUGCUGCAUGGCUGUCGUCAGCUCGUGUCGUGAGAUGUUGGGUUAAGUCCCGCAACGAGCGCAACCCUUGCCAUUAGUUGCUACGAAAGGGCACUCUAAUGGGACUGCCGGUGACAAACCGGAGGAAGGUGGGGAUGACGUCAAGUCCUCAUGGCCCUUAUGGGUAGGGCUUCACACGUCAUACAAUGGUCGGUACAGAGGGUUGCCAACCCGCGAGGGGGAGCUAAUCCCACAAAGCCGAUCGUAGUCCGGAUCGCAGUCUGCAACUCGACUGCGUGAAGUCGGAAUCGCUAGUAAUCGUGGAUCAGCAUGUCACGGUGAAUACGUUCCCGGGUCUU